UCCAGCACUUUGGACCAGACUUAGACAUUAAUGCAACCUGCUGUUGUUGCAUUAAUGCUCAGGUAACUGACUGGAGCUAGCUCUGAAGAUCUGAAAGGAUGAGUGAUAACGUCGUAUCAGCUGAGUCAUCAGUCACACGAACUUGAAUAUGAGAAGUUCGUGUUCAGCUCAUGGUGUGAUAGAGGCGGUACAGUCGGUGUACACAGGAGGCAGGGAACCAAGCACAGGGGGUGGAAGAGCUGGCUGCUGCACAGAAAGGACCGUGGGAACAUGGAAACACAGCAUGGCCAGCUUUGCUUCAUGAUCUUCACGACUCCCCUUGUGGCAUUUCAUCAUCUCCAUGUGUUGCCCAGCUCCAGUGCUACAUUAGCAGUUCUGUAUUUCCUCAUUAGGUCCCCUCCUCCACACAAACAUGCAGAGCGUGAUUUCUACUUCCUAUUUGACACCAAUAAGUAACCAUAGAGGAAGUAAGUCUUUAAAAAUCGAUAGC